UACGUAGGCAGCGAGCGUUGUUCGGAGUUACUGGGGCGUAAAGAGUGCGUAGGCGGUUGGCUAAGUUUGGUGUGAAAUCUCCCCGGCUCAACUGGGAGGGGUGCGCCGAAAAACUGGCUGGCUGGAGUGUGGGGAGAGGCUAGCGGAAUUCCUGGUGUAGCGGGUGAAAAUGCGUAGAUAUCAGGAGGAACACCUGCGGUGUAGACGGCUGGCUGG
rnacentral:rRNA from 1 species